rnacentral:sRNA from 1 species
AACUCGAGACUCACGUUCGCGACGGCAGC